AUUGAACGCUGGCGGCAGGCUUAACACAUGCAAGUCGAACGAGUGGCGGACGGGUGAGUAAUGCUUGGGAAUCUAGCUUAUGGAGGGGGAUAACUACGGGAAACUGUAGCUAAUACCGCGUACCAUAGGAUGAGCCCAAGUGGGAUUAGGUAGUUGGUGGGGUAAUGGCUCACCAAGGCGACGAUCUCUAGCUGGUUUGAGAGGAUGAUCAGCCACACUGGGACUGAGACACGGCCCAGACUCCUACGGGAGGCAGCAGUGGGGAAUAUUGGACAAUGGGCGAAAGCCUGAUCCAGCAAUACCGCGUGUGUGAAGAAGGCCCUAGGGUUGUAAAGUUCUUUCGGUAGCGAGGCGUUAACUACAGAAGAAGCACCGGCUAACUCCGUGCCAGCAGCCGCGGUAAUUC
rnacentral:rRNA from 1 species